rnacentral:rRNA from 1 species
UACAGAGGGGGCAAGCGUUGUUCGGAAUUACUGGGCGUAAAGGGCGCGUAGGCGGCUCGGCACGUCCGUUGUGAAAUCGCCCGGCUCAACUGGGCGGGGUCGGCGGAUACGGCCGAGCUGGAGCAAGCUAGAGGGUCAUGGAAUUCCCGGUGUAGUGGUGGAAUGCGUAGAUAUCGGGAGGAACACCAGUGGCGAAGGCGGUUACCUGGAGCUUUGCUGACGCUGAUGCGCGAAAGCGUGGGGAGCGAACAGG